rnacentral:lncRNA from 1 species
AGAGCUUGGGUUACAUUUAUUUAAUAUGAAUACAGAACAUAGGGUAGGAAGAUUGCCUGCCCGUGAGAUGACCGGAGUUUCUUCCCUCAAGAACAAUCAUAGACCAUAUAUGUGAUCUAUUUGGCCGCAGAGGCGACCAGCAAGUAAGUUCAAUAAGAUAAUAGAUGAUCCUAUAUCUUAGAGGCACCUGCUGUAAUCCGGCUC